CCAGGUAGGCGGGAUUACCC
rnacentral:rRNA from 1 species